rnacentral:rRNA from 1 species
CCUUGUACACACCGCCCGUCAAGCCAUGAGAGUCGGGAGGACCUGAAGACAGUUGCUGUGAGGCGCUGUUUAGGGUUAAACCGAUGAUUAGGGCU